AUUUCUCUUUGUAAGAAAAUUGUGGCGACAGAAAACUUGGAGUGUCUUUCCCUCCCUCCCCCCUUUACAAUUAGAACUUAUUUCGACGUGUCCACAUUUCAUCCUUCGAAUUAACGAGUCAUCUGCUCAACCUAGAUGGUUUUCAAACUCAAGCACUCCAUGUAAGCUUAGCUGGUCUUUGAACUCCAUUUCCUCUAACCAGAGCCGGAAGAUAAAGAACCUAAAGACAGAAGAACACGACGAUUUUUCUUUGUAAGGUAUAUGUACUUAAACUGGGCAGGAUUCGUGGUGUCAGUAUAAUGAUGUUCUUAAAAGUA